rnacentral:rRNA from 1 species
CCUACGGGGUGCAGCAGUGGGGAAUAUUGCACAAUGGGGGAAACCCUGAUGCAGCGACGCCGCGUGAGUGAGGAAGUAUUUCGGUAUGUAAAGCUCUAUCAGCAGGGAAGAAAAUGACGGUACCUGACUAAGAAGCCCCGGCUAACUACGUGCCAGCAGCCGCGGUAAUACGUAGGGGGCAAGCGUUAUCCGGAUUUACUGGGUGUAAAGGGAGCGUAGACGGCUAAUCAAGUCAGAAGUGAAAACCCAGGGCUCAACUUUGGGACUGCUUUUGAAACUGAGGAGCUAGAGUGCUGGAGAGGUAAGUGGAAUUCCUAGUGUAGCGGUGAAAUGCGUAGAUAUUAGGAGGAACACCAGUGGCGAAGGCGGCUUACUGGACAGUAACUGACGUUGAGGCUCGAAAGCGUGGGGAGCAAACAGGAUUAGAUACCCCGGUAGUC